ensembl:lncRNA
CAGAAGGCAGAAGUGAAAGAGAGGGUGGAGAUUGCAUGAGAUGAACCUAUGGGCACACUGACGAAGUCACGACUGAUUGUGUGUUUUAAUGUGAGCGAGUGUGACAGCACUUAUGUUAGUUGGAUUUGUGAUUAAACGCUUAGAAAUGAAGCUCUCCUGCCCUCUGAUCUGUGGGAUCAUUUUGUCCUGGAUUUGCUUCAGAGUUUCAAGUGAGAAUCUGUCUGUGAUUCAGAGUCCAUCCAGCAUCACUGUGAAUGAAGGAGAAUCUACUCAAAUCAGCUGCUGCUGGAAUGAAACCAUACAGAAUGUUAAAUUUGCUUGGUACAUUAAUGAGAAAAAACUAAACCAGGAUCUCCAAGAACAUAAAACACAGAACUGUGCAAUUCUGAACCUCACAAACAUACUUAAAAAUGCUUCAGGUCAUUAUGUUUGUGAAGUGACUCAAGACAUACCAGUCCUGCUUCAGAAGAAUGGUAGUGGAACAGUCAUAACUGUCAAUUACAUACUAGUAGAAACGACAACAACUGUCAGUGUUCACACACUUUUCAACCCAGCAGCUGAAAGUCAGGAGUCAGGAGAAAGACCGGAUGAAGACCUGGAGGCCGGAGAGACACAGAGAAGUGAAACUGAAGAGGCGAAACAGGGUGAGAAUGUUUCUGAACAGGAGAAAAGGAGGGUCAACAACCAGAAACCUGAAGUUACUGCAGCAACAGAAGAAGAAAAAGAAAAUGAAGAAAAACAGAUUGAUGUAGUUGUCGACACUGAACAAGGUACAUCUCCAAUGCAUGACGAUGAAAAAAACAAGACUGAAUCUGUUCUGAACACUGAUGAAAAGACAUCUAAUGACUGAUGCUGAAGAAGUGACUGUUUCUGUGCUGGGCGGCUUUGUUUCAGCUCUGUGAGACAUACAGGAAAUGGAGUUAUGGGUGUGUUGUUCAGGUCUAUGAUGCCACUUCCUGCAUAAUUGCUUGUUUGCAGACUCAUAAUGGUUUGCAAUGAUUUACACUGAAUCCUGAAAGUAGGUGAAAUAUAGUAUGUCUUGUGCAUGCAUGAAUCUUUCUGUUGGAUCGUGUGUGUUGUGGGAUUGUGUAUAUGGUUGUUUUUCAUUGUGUCUUGGGUGAAUCGAAUGCGAGAUCAGUGUUGUGGUUUACUGUGGGCUUCACUGUGAUAAAAUUAGUUGCGUGGGGAGGGGGUGAAAUUCUGAGAGUACGAGUGUCUCAUGCGUGUGAAAGGUUAUUAUGUGGGAGUAAAGCAGAGUUCAGAUUCUCUGCAGAUGCUCAGAAAUGAAGUGUUCCUCCAGACUCCUGUGUGGGCUCCUCGUGUCAUGCCUUUAUUUCAGAGUUUCAAGUGAGAAUCUGUCUGUGACUCAGAGUCCACCCAACAUCACUGUGAAUGAAGGAGAAUCUGCUCAAAUCAAAUGCUGCUGGAAUGAAAUCAUACAGAAUGUUAAAGUUGCUUGGUACAUCAAUGAGAAAAAACAAAAGCAGGAUCUCCAAGGACAUAAAACAUGUGCAGUUCUGAACCUCACAAACAUACUUAAAAAUGCUUCAGGUCAUUAUGUUUGUGAAGUGACUCAAGACAUACCAGUCCUGCUUCAGGAGAAUGGUAGUGGAACAGUCAUAACUGUCAGCGACAUACUAUAUAACAAAACAGAGACUGUUUCUAGCCAGCCUCAAACCACUCAGACUGCACACAGUGACACUUCACCUCUAUCUCUGCCUUUGUCUCUGGCUGCUGCCGUCGGCCUGCUGACCCUCUGCUUGGCCUUCAGUGUGUGCAAGAUGAGAAACUCCUGUAAAAAAUCAGAGCGAGUGGUCAUUCACCAGACGCCUAACAGUGAGGGUGAGGAGCAUGAGCACAUGGAAGAAGAGGACGGCAGCACGGGCUCCUCUCGAGGAUCCCUCCAAUGGUAUCAAGUGCCUGUUUACUGGUCUUACUUUGAUCUACAGAGGGGUGAAGACCAGUGACAACCAGAAAGGAAAGACAAACGUGAUGUUCAGUUCACUGGAUUGCAUUUUGCAUUCUCUCCCCUUUCAUGAGAGCAUUUUUGUAAAUAGCAGAAGUGAUUUUAAUCUUCAGAUAGGCUUCUUGAAACCCUCAGUUAAAGCUCUUGAUUGUGCUAGCAGAUGUUAAUCUCUCUGUUUGUAUAGCAGCUCUAUUGAUUUGUUUUUUCUUAUUUUAAUUUCUUUUACAUUUUUUUUAUGAGAGAUUUCUUUAAUUAAAAUGAAGAUGUGUCAUACUGACACGCAUGAAAAACUACUUGGAUUUCAUGCCCAGACAGAUGUAAAAAAGUUUUAUAAUAAAGAGUUUUAUGCUGUACA